AGAAAGUUCUAAUGUAGCUAACAAUCUUUCGGGUGGCACGUUGUGGGCCCGAACCAACUCACAAUCAACACAUUGUUGUUAACUGGUCAACAGUAGCGAUUAGACCACAACAAAAUGCGUGGAGGAUUUAGAGCCACAAAACACUUUAUUAAGCAAUGAAGUUUUGCUAUAAAUUUCCCAAGAGUGGUUCAUGUGUACAUGUUGAACUACCAAGAAACUGGCUGUAAAACAUGAAAUGCUACGAAAAACCAAUGACCUUAUUUCCACAUAGUUCGCAGGCUUUAAAAGGCACUUGCUAGGUUAGCUUUUAAGUAUCGGGGAAUAAAGGCCUGGAACAAGGCCAGGCCAAGGCGUAAAAAGCAGCGUGCACAAAGCAGAAGAGCAGCUUAAUUUACAAGCAAAUUUGAAGAAACAUCUAAGAUAAUAAGCCAGUUGACUGUUUGAAGAACAUUUAACAAUCACCUAGAAGUUUUCUGUGUCUCAUUUAUGAGCGACAAAGAGUGAAGUAAAACGACCCAAACGCUGAUAUGAACAGGAUAUUAUAAUAAAAAAUGGUUUUAGAGAAAAAUAUAUGUUUGAAGAAAUGCUCCAAUGUUAAUAUAAACAUUGAACACAAAAUAAAAGCAUAAAAUUAUAUAAUCGGCUGUGUUAAGUGGAAGAGCAUGACGUUUUGCCUUAGUAAAUUAAAAAUGUAAUCAUUUGCAUUAAAUAUUAAAUUUAUUCCGGAAAUAAUGCUGUAAGUGGAAAAUUACAAUUAGUAAAGAAAUUCAUUUAGAGAAGUUAGUUAGUUACGCUUAUUUUGUUUUGCAAAUUAUAAUUGUUU